AGUGAACGCUGGCGGUAGGCCUAACACAUGCAAGUCGAACGGCAGCACAGUAAGAGCUUGCUCUUACGGGUGGCGAGUGGCGGACGGGUGAGGAAUACAUCGGAAUCUACUUUUUCGUGGGGGAUAACGUAGGGAAACUUACGCUAAUACCGCAUACGUCCUACGGGUGAAAGCAGGGGAUCUUCGGACCUUGCGCGAUUGAAUGAGCCGAUGUCGGAUUAGCUAGUUGGCGGGGUAAAGGCCCACCAAGGCGACGAUCCGUAGCUGGUCUGAGGGGAUGAUCAGCCACACUUGAACUGAGACAAGGUCCAGACUCCUACGGGAGGCAGCAGUGGGGAAUAUUGGACAAUGGGCGCAAGCCUGAUCCAGCCAUACCGCGUGGGUGAAGAAGGCCUUCGGGUUGUAAAGCCCUUUUGUUGGGAAAGAAAAGCAGCAGGUUAAUACCCCGCUGUUCUGACGGUACCCAAAGAAUAAGCACCGGCUAACUUCGUG
rnacentral:rRNA from 1 species